rnacentral:rRNA from 1 species
CAGUCGCCGCGUUAAUGCGGAGGGUGCAAGCGUUAAUCGGAAUUACUGGGCGUAAAGCGUGCGUAGGCGGUUCGUUAAGUCUGUUGUGAAAGCCCCGGGCUCAACCUGGGAAUGGCAAUGGAUACUGGCGAGCUAGAGUGUGUCAGAGGAUGGUGGAAUUCCCGGUGUAGCGGUGAAAUGCGUAGAGAUCGGGAGGAACAUCAGUGGCGAAGGCGGCCAUCUGGGACAACACUGACGCUGAGGCACGAAAGCGUGGGGAGCAAACAGGAUUAGAUACCCCAGUAGUCCCUGUCUCUUAUAC